rnacentral:tRNA from 2 species
GGCCUCGUAGCUCAGGGGUAGAGCGUCGGCUUCCAGCCGUACAUAGGAACAUUCCGAAGGCCAUCCGUUCAAAUCGGGUCGGGGUCA